rnacentral:tRNA from 1 species
GGAAGAGCUACGGCUCAGUGGUUAGAGCAAGAAGGUCGCGGGUUCGAUCCCCGGCAUCUCCA